AAUAUGAAAUGAUAUUAGAAGAGUUUAUAUGAUACAGAGAAGAUUAGCAUGGCCCCUGCGCAAGGAUGACACACAAAUUAGUGAAGCGUUCCAUAUUUAA
ensembl:snRNA U6 U6 spliceosomal RNA